CGGUGGAGCAUGUUGGUUUAAUUCGAAGCAACGCGAAGAACCUUACCAGGUCUUGACAUCCCGAUGCUAUUCUAGAGAUAGAAAGUUACUUCGGUACAUCGGUGACAGGUGGUGCAUGGUUGUCGUCAGCUCGUGUCGUGAGAUGUUGGGUUAAGUCCCGCAACGAGCGCAACCCCUAUUGUUAGUUGCCAUCAUUCAGUUGGGCACUCUAGCGAGACUGCCGGUAAUAAACCGGAGGAAGGUGGGAUGACGUCAAAUCAUCAUGCCCCUUAUGACCUGGGCUACACACGUGCUACAAUGGUUGGUACAACGAGUUGCGAGUCGGUGACGGCGAGCUAAUCUCUUAAAGCCAAUCUCAGUUCGGAUUGUAGGCUGCAACUCGCCUACAUGAAGUCGGAAUCGCUAGUAAUCGCGGAUCAGCACGCCGCGGUGAAUACGUUCCCGGGCCUU
rnacentral:rRNA from 1 species